rnacentral:SRP_RNA from 1 species
GCCGGGCACGGUGGCUUGUGCCUGUAAUCCAAGCGCCGGGGAGGCUGAGGCUGGCGGAUGGCUUGAGCCUGGGGGUUCUGGGCUGCAGGGCGCUGUGCUGAGCGGGCGUCCACGCUAAGGUCGGCAUCGAUAUGGUGUCCUCCGGGGAGCUGGGGGGCACCAGGUCGCCUAAGGAGGGGUGAACCGGCC